rnacentral:rRNA from 1 species
CAGCCGCCACGGUAAUACGUAGGGUGCGAGCGUUAAUCGGAAUUACUGGGCGUAAAGCGUGCGCAGGCGGUUAUAUAAGACAGAUGUGAAAUCCCCGGGCUCAACCUGGACCUGCAUUUGUGACUGUAUAGCUAGAGUACGGUAGAGGGGGAUGGAAUUCCGCGUGUAGCAGUGAAAUGCGUAGAUAUGCGGAGGAACACCGAUGGCGAAGGCAAUCCCCUGGACCUGUACUGACGCUGAUGCACGAAAGCUAGGGGAGCAAACAGGAUUAGAUACCCCCGUAGUCCCUGUCUCUUAUACA